CGGAGGUAGCCAAGUGGAUCA
rnacentral:tRNA from 1 species